rnacentral:rRNA from 2 species
UACGUAGGGUGCAAGCGUUAAUCGGAAUUACUGGGCGUAAAGCGUGCGCAGGCGGUUGUGUAAGCCAGAUGUGAAAUCCCCGGGCUUAACCUGGGAAUGGCAUUUGGGACUGCACGGCUAGAGUACGGCAGAGGAGACUAGAAUUCCUGGUGUAGCAGUGAAAUGCGUAGAUAUCAGGAGGAAUACCGAUGGCGAAGGCAGGUCUCUGGGUCGAUACUGACGCUCAUGCACGAAAGCGUGGGGAGCAAACAGG